AUACAUGCAAGUCGAGCGAGCGGAACCACAGAUUUACUUCGGUAAUGACGUUGGGAAAGCGAGCGGCGGAUGGGUGAGUAACACGUGGGGAACCUGCCCCUAAGUCUGGGAUACCAUUUGGAAACAGGUGCUAAUACCGGAUAAUAAAGCAGAUCGCAUGAUCAGCUUUUGAAAGGCGGCGUAAGCUGUCGCUAAGGGAUGGCCCCGCGGUGCAUUAGCUAGUUGGUAAGGUAACGGCUUACCAAGGCGACGAUGCAUAGCCGAGUUGAGAGACUGAUCGGCCACAUUGGGACUGAGACACGGCCCAAACUCCUACGGGAGGCAGCAGUAGGGAAUCUUCCACAAUGGACGCAAGUCUGAUGGAGCAACGCCGCGUGAGUGAAGAAGGUUUUCGGAUCGUAAAGCUCUGUUGUUGGUGAAGAAGGAUAGAGGUAGUAACUGGCCUUUAUUUGACGGUAAUCAACCAGAAAGUCACGGCUAACUACGUGCCAGCAGCCGCGGUAAUACGUAGGUGGCAAGCGUUGUCCGGAUUUAUUGGGCGUA
rnacentral:rRNA from 1 species